rnacentral:lncRNA from 1 species
GUUUAUAGCUUCACGCACGUAAUUCCCUUUCUGACUUAAGUAUCGGAUGGAUGACGAGAACAUACCUCGUUGCCUUUGUUCCAGGUACCGGAAGAUCACGAUCGUGCUCAUUCAAAAUCCUCAAGUUCAAGAAAUCAACAGGUACAAUUUUUGGUAGCAUCACCACCCCAUUCACGCCCUUUAUCAAAUCACUUGUUUUGUCCCAUUUGAUUUGAUUGGUUUUUAGUUUUUACUUAGAAAAUACAAAAUAUCUAGGAUUUGGGUUGAUGACAAACACGUGAAUUGGUCCUCCGCCACAAAUUUCAUUUGAUAUACUUAAUUAAUUAUAUAUUCUGUUUUCAACUUAUUUGUUAAUAAUAUUUUGGAUUUGAACCAACGCUAAUCUACAUAUGUAUAGUUCAUGAGGUCACCCUUUCUAUGCUUGAGCAUCAAAUAAUAAAUUGUCAUAUGUAUGUCGCUUAGAACGACUAACAAUGUUAUUUACUACAAAUAACAUUACUAAAUUCAUAAUGAUUGAUAAGAUAAUUUGUAUGAAAUCGUGGCAGCUUAUAUUUACGUAAAAUUGUUUUUAAACGGCAAUGCUUUUCAAAAAUCAUUUGUUCAACACGAUUUCGAUAAGAUUUUUAUUUUUAUUUUUUUCCCUAUACACUUUUUGUUCAUUGGACUGUUGAAAAGUAUGCUAAACUGAUAAUACUGUAAGCCCAAUGUUUGGCUAUCAUUCAUUAACCAUUCACAACAGUAAGAACCCUUCCCAAUAACAAAACAAUUUCGAAAGAUACAAAAUUGAAAUUAAAAAUACUAAGGCCUUGUUGCCCACAUUCUUUUAAAAAAAUUAUUUUUAAACAGUAAUUUGAGAUCAUUUCAAUAACACAUUUUUCGAUAAAAUAAUAUUACACGCAAGUUCAAAAUUCUUCUUUAUUUUUCAACAACAUAUUUUUCAUCAAUGUAUUAUUCAAAAUUAUAUUCUUAUUAAAAUAACAACGGCUGAACUCUAAUUGCAUUAAAUUGGCAUAGUUGGCACUAGGCAUUAAAAAUUGCCAGAUAUCCAACGCGUUUUCUCAAUUAUGUUGUCCACCAAACUUUUAAAUGACGCAGGCCGCCCAUUUGAGGGGCUGUGAGCUAUGCACGGCUCCUUUUAAAAUACGAAGCUAAAAAUUACGGCGCACAGCACGGCUCCUUUUAAAUACGAAGCUAAAAAUUCCGUACCGGCCCCGCUUGGUCCGGAACUUCGACCUAAUCGCGCGUAAUCUUAAGGACUUUUUUUGGGUGUCAGAGGCCACAGAUAAUGUUUCAACUGAAAUUUACAUCUCCUACUAACUCACUUGUUUUCCUUGGGUGGUGUUGACACAUAAAAAUUCAGUCCAAAUCGAACAGUUCAAAGAGUAAAGCCCAAUUGGAGAAUCCCCAAAUCAAAUAACCCAAAGAACGAAAUCCAAUUGAACGAAUCAAGGUGAACGCCCGAAUAAGGGGCCCAAUAGUGCGGUAACGCCAUCGCCCAAGUUUGCAAGUCGCUCAAAAUCUGAACGAAUAGAGUGGCAUACGAUCGCCCAGAGUCUCGCCCAAAUCUUCAAGUCGCCCAAGGUAUCAACAAACAUAACGCAUUAUGAUUAUAAAAAAAUGCAGUUAUUGAGGCAGUUGCUAAAGUAACCUUAUCACGUUCCACGACUCAAGGGGUUCAAUCGAAAGCGGUUGAACGAUGCAAGAUAAUGACAGCAUUUAAAAAGACAGUUUCAUGACAAAAUGGCCACUACAAAGAAAGUGAGUAGUUAUAGGGCGAUCAAGCAGUUUUUUAGAGCAGUUAAUCACAAAGGGAUCGCCUAUGAAGUAUAAAAGGGAGAAAGAACUUAGGAGCAAAGGACCGAAUCCAAAACUCUCGAACAGAGAAUAUGUAAUUUUCAUUCCUUUAGCUUUUAGACUUAAACACUUCCUUUUCUGUAACUCGUGUGCUUGCGCCCCUUGGAGGCACGUUGUUUUCCGUUUCCAAUUGUAAAGUUCAUCGUCAAUAAAAAGAACACCC